rnacentral:miRNA from 1 species
UGUGAGAGUGCUGAGCCUG